CAUUCAGCUCAAGUCAGUUUUGUUGUGAGUCUAAAAUAUCCUGCAAACAGCCUGAAUAAGUUACCUGAAAUCGCAUACACUGUUGUGCUGAAACGCGCAUAAAAAUGAUAACUUUUCUUGUUUAGAAAGCCUCAACAGUCAUCAAAAGAGCAGAAAAUCCACCAUAAUAGCUGUCAUUCCACUGGUUCUUAUGGGAGUUAUUAAUGAAUUUAAUCUUGUGAAAAGUUUGAUGACCGGAACUUCUUCUGUACGCCGACCUGCAAGAAUAAGGAGCACAUGGUCCAUCAAUAGAGCUCUUACAUUUUCUUUGAUGAUGCAUUCAUCAUGAUACUCUGUGGAUUGUUGUGAUGAAAAAGAACUGAUAGAGUUUAUAGUGCUGUAAAAGACUUUAUAAAAUGAUUGAAGUCAGUUAAAUCAACAGGUGUACAUACUGAGUUUGGUAGAAUAGUGUAUACCUCUCUACAAUGUAAUUACUGAUUAAUUUUGUCUCCCUGGUACUAUACAAAGAUGAUGGUAGUAAUUUUUGUAUCAGAUAUUUCUUCAUAAAACAUAUAUUGUCUGAAAGCGACUUUCUUUUGUCUAUAGAUAAAACAAUAUAUUUUGAUGUUGCGUAGUGAAGUA